rnacentral:misc_RNA from 1 species
UAGCAAUCGAAACGGCAUUGGACAAGCUUGUCUAUGCCAAGCCAGUCAUUGAACCGUCAAUUGCUGAACGAACGAACGACAGUGAAUCUCAGAGGCCCCGCCUUUAAAUCCGUAAUUUUAUUAUUUCAGUUGGUUUUCGCGAUGAUAUUAUUAUAAAAACAGGCAUUUAGAUACACGAGUACUACGAAGUAGGAGACCUGUGACAAUGGGUACAACAAACACACUUUAUUUCAUCGCGUUACUAUCAUGUUCGGCGGCGUUAUUGACGUCACCGCCGAAGAUAGUCAAGCAGCCGACGCAAGAGGAGAUUCUGUUCCAAGUGGCGCAGCCCGGCGAGGUGGACAAGCCGUUCAUCAUAGAGUGCGAGGCCGAAGGCGAACCGGCUCCUAAGUACAGAUGGAUUAAGAACGGCAAACCGUUCGAAUACACGAGUUACGACAACCGUAUCUCCCAACAAUCUGGUCGCGGUACCCUCGUGGUCGGCCAGCCACGCGACGAGGACCUUGGCCAGUACCAGUGCUUCGCCUACAACGAGUGGGGAACUGCAGCCUCCAACAGCGUGUUCGUUCGCCGAGCUGAACUCAACUCCUUCAAGGAAACAGACAGCCAACAAGUCGUCCGAGCAGAGGAAGGCAAACCUUUCAAACUCACCUGCGAACCACCAGACGGUCACCCCAAACCCAAAGUAUACUGGAUGUUGCAAGGCGAUCAGGGACAACUCAAAACUAUCAACAACUCGCGCAUGACACUAGACCCUGAGGGAAACCUUUGGUUCUCGAACGUGACUCGCCACGACGCGAGUGUGGACUUCGCAUACAUUUGCACAGCUAAUUCGAUCUUCAGGAAUGAGUACAAGUUUGGCAACAAGAUAUAUUUGGAGGUGACUCAGACUGGUAUCGCUCCUACCUUGAACAGACAUGAGCCGGUGCGUCAGUACACGACGAGGAAAGUCGAGAAGGCGCUGAAAGGCAAGAGGGUGGAACUGUACUGUAUUUACGGUGGAACGCCACUACCGCAAAUCGUUUGGAAGAAGAACGGCCGCAGCAUCCUCUCUUCCCAAGGCAUCACUCAGGACAACUAUGGCAAGACGCUAGUCAUCAGGUACCCGACGUACGAAGACCAGGGCACUUAUACCUGUGAGGUCAGCAACGGUGUUGGAACUGCUCAGUCGUACUCCAUCCUGUUGAAUAUUGAAGCCGCACCAUUCUUCACGGUGGAGCCGGAAUUCCAGAACUUAGCUGAAGGCGAGACUGCUGAGAUCAAGUGCGAGGCUGGUGGUACCCCCGUGCCUAAGAUCACGUGGAUCCACAACGGCAAGCCUAUAGAACAAGCUGAGCCCAACCCGAGGAGACAAGUGAACUCCAACAGCAUUAUCAUUACGAACUUGGUGAAGAAGGAUACUGGCAACUACGGUUGUAACGCUACCAGUUCCAUUGGAUACGUGUACAAAGAUGUCUACAUUAAUGUUCAAUCAAUCCCGCCAGAAAUCAAGGAGGGACCAGAGAACCUCACCAGGGUGGAUGGCUCCGAGGCUGUGCUCAAGUGCAGAGUGUUUGGAGCUCCGAAGCCUAUCGUCAAAUGGAUGAAGGAUGACGUUGACGUUACUGGUGGGAAAUACAACAUAACUGCUGACGGUGACCUGGUGAUCCACGAGGUGGCUUACACUGACAUGGGCACGUACCAGUGCUACGCGAAGAACAAGUUCGGAGAGAAGUCCGCUUACGGAUCACUUGAUGUUAAGAAACGCACAAUGAUCACCGACAAGCCUGAACACUACGAAGUCGCAGCGGGUUCCUCCGCCACAUUCCGUUGUAACGCGAACGCGGACGACUCGCUUAAGCUUCAGAUCAUUUGGCUGAACGACGGCCAGCAGAUCGACUUCGAGAAUCAGCCGCGGUUCCGCAUGACCAAUGACUAUUCCCUGCUGAUCUCUGAUACCACGGAGCUGGACUCGGGAGAGUAUACUUGUAUUGCGAAGACGGCCAUUGAUGAAGCUAGGGCGCAAGCUACGCUUACUGUUCAGGAUAAGCCAAACCCACCGCAACUGGAAGGUGUAGAAUGCAACGAGCGUACCGCCACUCUUCGCUGGCACUCCAUGGGCGACAACCGAGCUCCCAUACUCCGCUACUCCAUACAGUACAACACCACCUUCACGCCUGACACCUGGUACACGGCCAGCGACAACGUGCCAGCCAUCGACACCUCCUGGACCGUCCAGCUCAGUCCCUGGGCUAACUACACCUUCAGAGUGAGCGCGUGGAACAAGAUCGGGCCGUCCAGUCCGUCGUCGCACUCCGAGGUGUGCAGCACGCAGCCCGACGUGCCCUACAAGAACCCCGACAACGUCGUCGGCGAGGGCUCCGACCCCACCAACAUGGUCAUCUCUUGGGAGAAAAUGCCGCAAAUCGAGCACAACGGUCCCGGGUUCUACUAUCUGGUGACUUGGCGCCGCAACAUCACCGGGCAGCCCUGGGUGGAGGAGCAGGUCCGCGACUGGCAGCAGACGCAGUACGUCGUCACCAACACGCCCACCUUCGUGCCUUACAAACUUAAGGUAACCGCGGUGAACUACAAGGGUACAUCUAACGUGACUCCCGUCGAGGUGAUCGGCUGGUCGGGCGAGGACGUGCCCUUGCAGGCGCCGCAGAACUUCACCCUCGUGCAGGUCACCACCGGCACCACUGCUCUACUCAACUGGAACCCUGUACCACCUGAGUCUGUUCGCGGACACUUCAAGGGAUACAAGAUACAGACCUGGGUGGAUGGAGAGGAAGAUCGCCUCAAGGAAAUAUUGGUCAAAGCUGACGCCUCCAGCGCCCUUGUCAGCAAGUUCAAGCCCUUCAAGAAGAACAACGCCAGGAUCUUAGUAUACAACGGACGCUUCAAUGGACCACCCAGCGAUACCCUCAGCUUCCACACCCCUGAAGGCAAACCCGGCACUGUGAAGUCAUUCGAAGUGUACCCCAUCGGGUCAUCAGCCAUGCUCCUCAAGUGGGACAAACCCAUCGAUGAAAACGGAGUCCUCACCGGAUACAAAAUCUACUACCAAAAAGUCACCGGAACUUCUCUAGGACCCACCCAAGAAAGGAAGAAGGAAAUCGAUCCUAAGUUCGACCGCGCAAAGUUGGCUGGACUCGAACCCAACACCAAGUACCGUAUUGAGAUCAGAGCAAAGACCAAGGCUGGGGAAGGUGACAAGUAUUACGUGGAACAGUCGACGAAAUCAGUUGAGAAGGCCAAGCCAGACAUUCCACAGUUUGAGACGAGCACACUGCCUGCUAAGGAGGGGACUGCGCAUAUCUUGGUUCGUUGGAUUCCUUCGUUGGACGGUCACGCGGGCACUCACUUCGUGGCGUGGUACAAGCUGAAGGGUCACCCCGACUGGUCGAAGACUAACGAGGUGACGGAUGAUGACUACGUGAUCCUGACGGGCUUGGAGCCGGGACAGGUGUACGAGGUGAAGCUGACGGCGCAUGAUGGAGAGUACUUCAGCGCCAGCGAGAUCAAGGAUGUCGAUACUACCAUUGACGGUCCAAUCGUGAAGCCGGACGGCGACAAGCCUGCGACGGCGGGCUGGUUCAUCGGCGUGAUGCUGGCGCUGGCCUUCCUGCUGCUCGUGCUGGUGCUGGUGUGCGUGGUGCGGCGCAACCGCGGCGGCAAGUACGACGUGCACGACAGGGAGCUAGCGCAUGGGAGGAGGGACUACGCUGACGCCGGCUUCCAUGAGUAUACGCAUCCACUAGACAACAAGUCCCGCCACUCGAUGAGUAGCGGCACCAAGCCCGGCCCCGAGAGCGACACCGACUCCAUGGCCGAGUACGGCGACGGCGAGACCGCGGGUAUGAACGAGGACGGGUCGUUCAUCGGGCAGUACGGGCGCAAGCGCCGGCCGCCCGCCGCCGCCAACCCCGACUCCGCCUCGCAGGCCUUCGCCACGCUCGUCUAACUACCUCUCCUUCAUCCCUCCACACGUGUGUUUACUGAGAUCAUCCUGUCAUACUAAAUCCUCUUGUGUUCGUUUAUUAAACAUUUCAAACUUUAAAACAAUGCACUUUAUUUUGUAGCAUAUUUUAUCUCAGUAAACAUUCUGCAAAAAGCGCUCCAAAUAGCUACGUUCUUCUAUGUUUGAAUGUAUAACGUAGUGCCAUUGCAUCACAAUUUAAUGCAACUAAACAGUCCGGUACUGACAGCCAAUCAGCGUAGGCUUGUUCUAUCUGUUCUUCGUUCUGAUUGGCUCAUUUGACGGUGACGUCGCCCGCCAAAAUUUGUUCUCUAUUACGUUUUGAUCUGUGAAUUAUGUUGUGAAUCUUUUUUUUUUUAUUGAUCUGAGCAGUAUACUGCUAGUUUAAGCACCGUUUUCAUGCACGCGACUGAAAUAAGUAAAUUAUUUAGUUCUUUGUCUUGGGCAUGAAAAUUGUAGUUGUAAUAUUUACAAAAGGGCGUCCAGUCUUUAUUGCACUAUUUCAGAAAUAGUAUUAAAUAAAGGCUUUAUCACUGUCCCUUCGCAAGAUAUCGCAGCUUAGGUUAGGUAUUAAGUACAGAAUAAUUUGUAUGUAAGUAACUUUAGGUUGUAAAGAAACAGAUGAUAUUAUUUGGAGUGAAUUUCCUACUUAAAUGUUUAUUAGCGUGCUUUGUUAUAAGUUUUGCAUUUGUUUUAAUGUUGAUAUUAUUUCCCGUUCCGUCCCUUUUCCUGUUUUUCUUUGCCUGCACGAGCGCCGUUUUUGUUUUCUUUCGUAAGGUCGGUUCACGGAGGACGGUUCGUUCAUCGGUCAGUACGUGCCGGGCGCGCGCGUGCUGGCGCCGCCCGCGCCGCCCGCGCCCGCCAUGCCGCCCACGUACGUGUAAACACAACCGCGGUACUAACACAUAUUCUCUCUAUUGUUUGUCUGUGUGGGGAGCAAGGAGUUGAUUACACAUCGCAACUAAAUUCUAAACGUAGAGAUGUAAAAUUCGAUGUAAAACUAAGUUUAGAUUGUAUAACAAAAAUAUCUAUGCUGGUCAUACUGUCUAAUGGACAUUUUCAUCUCGAAUUGAUAACUGAUUUAUCCAUGGCUGCACCCGAACGUAUAGCCAUGAAUAAAUUGUGUAUGAUCUAAACUUAGUUUUAUAUUAGUAUGUAUUUACUGUUCUAUGUAACACUCCGCGCUGACCACAUGUAGUUUUGACUGUAAGUACGUUUUGUCGCUCUAUCUCUCUCACUCUCACCACUAAGGCGAUAUGAAAGAGGAGAGCAACAAUAUGUUACAGUAGGCAGACUUUAACGUCACGAAUGUUCAGUGUCUUGCACGCGUCGACUUUUAUUUAGAACUUUAUUUUCGCAAUAUUAUAUUGUAAAAAAUAUCUUUAAAAAACGUCUAGAUUUCAUAACGUCAUCUUGUGACUUAUAGAAAUUAUCGGUAACCACGAAACGAUGUAUCGAUAACACAAGCUUAACAGCUUAUUUCAGUUUGUUUGAGACGCGAAAAUAUCUGUAAUGUAAAACUGCACUGCCAUUCUUCUUAUUCGUAUUAGAUUGAUUGAAAAAUUUCGGACUCACACGAGAUUUAUGUGCGGAAAGGGGGUCAAUUAACACAAUCUUUUAACAACGAGGAUUUGUGCCUUUACGACAAUUUAAAACUACAGUCAGAAUUUCCCACGUUAUAGUCAAGUGUGAGUCAAAAUUUUUCAAACGCUUUAAAAUUAUCCGUGAUCUAUCGACAGUGAAAAUUUAGUUGAAAUUUAUUAGCGUGUAAGCAUUAGUAUAAGCUGGUAACUAGCCUACCCUUCUGUCUCCACCGUUAGUGACCAUAGACAAGCUAAAAAAUGUUUUAUUGACUAUUCCUCGAGGUCUUAGCGAUCGUCUCUAAGUCUGUUGAACAUUUCGUUAUUUAUGAGACUGAUUUUAAGUAAUGUGAAAUAGUCAAACUGGCACUGACGUUCAGGUUUUGGUGGAUUACAAAAGUGUUCGAUAACAGCUUUGUUGGUCGCCAAUUUCAAUCUCUGAACUGUGACCUAGUGUGAAUCUAUCCUCGUAUAAAACACCGUGGAUAGUUUAUAGCGAGCAGUCUUCAUGCAUAGUGUGUAGUAAAAAAGAAAGUACCAUCCGUGUGGCGGUGUUCCCCAAAACCUGAACGUCAAGAUACUCGGCUUGUGUUAGUAAGUAGGCGAUGUUACGGCUCGAUAUCAAUUACGUGUAGUUAACAUACGGUAGCUGGACAAGACUUGAGAUAAGAAAAGCUAUUUUUGUCACAGAAAUAAGGUAAUUAGCUCUCAACUCCGGUGGUCAUGUGCGCUUGUUGCGGACUUAUCACGCUUCGCUAAAUAUUAUAAGUAUGGAGGUAAGCUUGGGUUAAAGGAGUUUAGCGACUCGGUUCGAAUGGUCAGUUCGCAAGCCAAAAUUAUCGUAUCCCUUAUUUUUAUAUAAAAUGCAUAUCUUUCUAAUAACUAUUUGAAACACGCUAUGGACCAUAAAGAUUUUUAUUUUACGAAUCAAUCCUAUGACUGUUAUGAAAAUUCAAAAUAUAUCUUUGUCAUUGUAAAAUGUUGUAACAUUUAAGCGUUGACCAAGCUUGUUCAAUUAAUAGAUGUUGUCUAACAUUGCGGUGUUGUCAGAUACCGCAGGCUCGCUUAGGAAAUCUAUUUAUUGUUUAGUUGAACCAUUAAGAUCUCUUCUUUAUGUUCUUUCUAAGACUUAUAUUCUCUUAUGUAUUGAGUGUACCUGCGAUGUCUCGCAACACAAAAGCAAUGGACACGACAAUUGAGUAUCUAGAGAAAUCUAUAUUUUAUUAAGAAAAGUAAAUAGGUAUUUUUAUAUGAUUGCGCAGUUUGACCACCGGGGCAUAUUGUGGUGCUUUGCAAGUGAAGAGAGGCGAGUUCGGUGUUGUGUUGUGUAGCGUCACGCGGCCGCGUCGGUCCCUCACGUCUCCCACCUGAGUCAGGCGAUGUAACCAAACGCAUAGAAAGAUAACGGUUCCGAUAAAUAGUAUGCCAGAUACAAACUUUGACGUUCAGAAAUAUGACUUUAGAUUGGAGUCCAAUGGAUAGUCAUUAUUGUAGUUGAAUCAUCAUCAACAUUUAGCCACAGGCGUCACUUUAUAUAAACACAUUACUCUAGAUGUAGAUCAUCAAUGUUAUCAACUUGUAUAAAAGCCGCUUGAAAUGUGUGCGUGUUGUGUUCUGACAUGUCUGACUGUAACAUAGGCGUGAUGAUAUUACGAAGAAUCUCGUUUUAUUAGGAGUUACAAAAAUCUCUAUUUAUCCCUCAACACUUCGAAUUUUAUCCAUCGAUCGUCGGUACACUAGUAUCGAUUGUAAUCGAUAAAGUAAAUUGUAUAGAAUAUUCAUCAUUCUGAUAUUAUAGUUAUCCGUGACCAUCCUCUUUGGUACAUCUCGCAAAUCUCGAAUGAAUUUAAGUGCGGGGCGACCCGUCGAUAUAAUGUCUCUCUUACGUAGUAUUAAGUCCUCUUUAUAGGCUUUUUUCGUAUUUGAAUUUUUCAUAUUUGACUAUUAUUGAAGUUUUGCACCGAUCACAUUGAAGUUAAUGCCCAAGUUGAUGUUUCUGAUUUUGGACAAUUGUGAGCGCGAGGCCAGUGUUACCCGAUACCAGUGUAACUAUACAGCUAAAUACAAUUGGUCAUAUGUAUGAAUAAAAUCGGUGAGCGUUGGUCUGGCGGGCGCAUGUAACAAUAUCUCAAUUGUAUCGUGUUUAGAUUAAGGCUAGGGACUCGUGUUAACUAAUGUUAGGUAGCUAACGCGUUCGCUUACUGCAACUGUACAUGUAUAUUUUAUUCUUUGCCUUAUCUGUACCUAUUGUAUCCGGUUUAUUCGUACUCCGGCGGGAUUACCGUCGAUUUAUUUUAUUAUAAUUUAUUUAUUUAUUUGUGUAUACUUCUCCGCCUGAAAGGUGUCGGGUCUUAAUUGAGUACAUUCCAGACGGUCUAACCAUGUUGAUUUUUCAAAUCGUUUUAUUUAUUGUCUCCCCAAUGACGCGUCGGUCAGAUGUAAUCUGAACAAUGUUUGUAAAACUAGACCGACGGACGAGACUAGCACCAUAAUUUAUAAUUAUUUAAAUACUUGACACAUAUUUAUUUGGUCCCUCGUUAUAAUGUAUAGUUUGUCGCAGGUAACAUGUUCUCAUUUAGAGCUUAUACUGUAACUAUUGGUACCUUAUACAUUGCAUAUUUAUAUUUGAUGGCACUGUUAUUGUAACCCCUUUAAGUUAUUUGUUAAGGAGUCUUUAUCAUGUCUAUUGUCUAGUAAGAAUUUAAUAUAUAUCUAUUAAUAUUAAUUGAUUAUAGUAGGAGCCUUGUUCUAUUCGCGUCUGUUUUGUCGCUUUUUAUACCCGUUAACGAUUUGAAAAUUCUUUGUCUUGAUGAAAAAAAAAAACUUGUUACGGUUCAAAAUGACAAUUUUGAUAUUAGAUUGUUAGUCACCGGUAUACGGUGGAUAUUCUCACUGCCUUCCCUACUAAAUUACACUGUGUUCAUUUUGUUUUACAAGUACCUAGUGAAGAACUUGCCUUACGUAAAAUUAUGAAUGAAAAUGUGAUUUUCAUUUGUCCAGAUUCGACCUGACAGCACAAUGUCUGCAUUUACUUAGUCACAAUAUUUACCGUGAAUUGUAUCAAAGUAGAUUCCCAGUAAUUGGUACUUCGCCGUACACAUAUUAUAAUAGUUGAUGUUAGCAGUAAAAGUAAUAUUGUUGUGUAACUCUAUUCGGUCGCAAGUGUAACGAACUUCUCAUACAUUUUGAAAAUAGUAUUAAUUUAUGAAAUUGUAAUAGACCUAAUGUUAAUGAAGCAAAGCGUAUUGAAAGCAUUACACGAAUGAGAUGAAAUAGUGUCAGCGCGAGAGAGAUCUGUGUUCAUAUAUUCAUCACUCUUAAUACAUCAGUAUUUUACGAAGGUUCUUUAUGAUCGAGGAGCUAGUUUUCAAACAAUGCUUUCAAUACGUUUCGCCAACUAAAUAUUUAGUAAUAGCCGAAGUAUUCGCUAAACACGAACUGGUAGAUUCUAAUUGUUGUGAGGUACAUUCAGUGUUAUCUAUAAUGUUGACGAUGCUUGGUUUUCGCCAUUUAUUUACGUCACCAGUUCAUUCAAGAAAUAUCUUGUGAGUUAUACUAGGCGCUAGACGCCUAACCCUUGUUAUAAUACAAAAUGGGAAAAUUAUAGCAUCAAUGACAGUUUAAUUAUAUUUGCUAAGCAAGCUUUUUUAUCUACAUUGGACUAUUUGUUGGUUAGAUAAUAGUUUGCAUUUAUUAUAUAAAAAAAAUGUUUAAAAUCAUGACAAAAGUGUAGGUAAAGACUUGUGAAAAUUUCUGAUCUGACCCGUACGAUUCUGUUCACGAAUUAUCGUAAAUUACAUUUUAGUUCGCAUUAAGUAACUGUAAUUUAUUGUAACUAUGAUGAAUAUUUUUUUAUGUUGCAUAGAAAAUAAAUAUUAAGAAAUUA